UCCCUUCCCGUUCACCUCCUCCUCAUCGCAUCUCCUCUACUCCUCUCUCUCCCUUCCCUGUGUCGUGUACAUGACACAAAAGUGUGGGCCCAAACCUGUAAUUUCUGAUGAGACUCUUGACAACAUUUAGCUCCCCGUUCUUCAGGAAGCACCGCAAAGAUCCGAUGUGGAGGAGAAUCUCCGACCUGGUCUCCCCAGGCUGAAUGGCCCGUCACUGCACUGUGAAAGCCCUGAGAGCUGGAUGGAUUUAGCCCACGAACGUUAGUGUCUCACAAACAGGUCGACAGGGCAACAUAUUGGCUCCGGUGUUGGACACAGCUGCAAAAGUGUGAAGAUGAUGGAGAGCUUAUGAAGGUUGCAUAUCGUAGGCUUGAGACGACAGUUAUGCAACUUUUUACAAACUAUGGAUGGAGAUUCACAAAUAGACUUGAAUAAAUGUGUACUUCUUAUCUCGGUUUGGUCAUUUAUUUCGGUUUGGUUUUUUAUUUUGUUGGGUGUGUUUAAUUUCAUUAUGAACUACACUCUUUGUUUGAGUGAUACAUUAUAAUAAUUGGCUGUAGCUUUGAUGAGCAAAGGCCGGAAUGUUCA